rnacentral:lncRNA from 1 species
GUAAUUUCCUCAGCCGCGCUCACUCCGCUAGUUUUCCUGGGAGUCACGGUGCUUGGUCGCGUUAUUGGGUCCGGGAAUUCAGAGAAUCAGGGCCAGCUGAUACUUCACCCUCUUAUCCCAACGCCAACCCUUGAUAGAUGCGAACCAGUCGUAUUUCCUUUGUGGGAAAGGAGUCGCUUUUUAAAGACGUGCACUGGCCAUCUAGGGAGGAGCUUUUACUUCAACUCAAAAUAGGACUGGAGCUGACUGGUGACCUGGCGCUCGAUGGACGGAAACGCUGUUCUUGCCGCUUCGGCAGCUCCCAUACUGGUGGGAGAGGCAAACUUGCAGUCUGCUCAUCUUAAGAUGGUGAAUGUUGAGAUAGGGUUGCUCCCGAAAAGCCGAGAAGAGGAGCCGUUUGACCCAACUUGAGGGUGAUCCGAUAGACACUCUUUAGGGCGUCUGCAGAGUGGGUGCGCGUGGAGACAGUCAAUAAGAGAAAAUCGUAAAUACAGAUGGUAUUCUAAAUCUAGCAUGCAUGUAAAGUUGUGUGACAUUUUAAAGAUUACAUUUUACACUUUAGUAUUGUUUUCAUUUUUAAUCACAUAAAUGGGGGAACACCAUAUUAAACUUUUCUGAACUUAAAAAAAAAAAAAAAAAA